CGGAUUUGCUUUAAAAUGUAUAAAAAGUACUUCUGCAGCCGCGGAAAUCAAACCAACGUGCCCUUCUAUGUCAUAGCUGAUCCGGGGCAGCUCUGACGUCUUCAGACUGUUCUCCAAGAGGAGGCAGGCUACCAUCACCUUGGAGGACCCCAGCAUUAAAUAUGCCCUCCGGCUGAUAGACAAAAAGACUGUCCGCCAUGACACAGUGAAGUUCUCCUUUUCCUGGCCUCCCCAGAACAUAUCCUCAGUCUCGCCAUCAGAAUCAGAAUCAUGUUUAUUGGCCAUUAUGGACGAGGGAAAAUGGAUGGUGGAUGGAAAAGGCGGAAGUGUGUGUUGGAAAGCUGGGUGUGACGUACAGAGACUUGAAAAACCGGUCCUCUGCUGGGUUGAAAGGAGGACUAGAAGAAAACUGAUUCCACUCAUAGAACACUAUGCCAAGAGAGGGUCCAUCAUCAUCAGUGAUGGGUGGCGGGCCUACCAAUAUGCUCUGCCUCAUCUAGGUUACAGACAUGACAUUGUGAACCGCAGUGUAGGAUUUGUUGAUGCACAAACAGGGCUCAUAUCCACAUUUAGAGCGGACCUGGAAAACUUAUAAGGAGACUGCCUGUAUAGCGGCAGGCAUUACGAUUCCAUUCAGUGUUGUAUUCUGUAAAUUGUGUAAACACCACAUCUACUGCACGUUGUCCACUUGAGAGAGAGAUUCCUCCUCUGUUGAGGAGGUUUCUUCAUAUAUUUGUUUCUCCCUGUUAAAGUUUUUUUUAUAAUUAUUUUUUAAGGCAGUUGUUCCUUAUCCGAUAUGAGGGUCUAAGGACAGGAUAUUGUGUUGCUGUGAAGCCUCCUAAGGCAAAUUUAUUAUCGGUGAUAUUGGGCUGUACAAAUGAAAUGGACGUUUUGACUUGACUUGACACUCAGUUAUACAUGCCAACUAAAAUCCACAGAUCCUAGCGCCCUAGCAAAUCUCACCACUUGCCUCUCUGACAUUAAAUGCUGGGAUGUCCGACAAAUGUUCUUAAAUUUCAUGAUAAGUCUGAGGUCAUCCUGUUCGGUCCCCCAAAUCCCAUCAGCCAUUUUGGUACUGUCAGGUAGUCGUAAGCAGGCUGCAAGGAAUCUUGGGGUAAUAUUUGAUGCCAACCUCGGUUUUGAUAAUCAAAUCAAACGUGUUGCUCAGUCAUCCUUUCUCCAGCACAAGGUAAUCUCCAAAAUUAGGUCAUUUUUAUCAAAUUUAUCUAUUCUCGGCUCGACUAUUGUAAUGCACUUUACUCUGGUAUGAGCAAGGGCUCCCUCCAGUGUGUGCAGUUGGUACAACACGCCGCUGCCCGGCUCAUCACCGGGACCAAAGAGGCAUGACCAUAUCACUCCUGUGCUCGCUUCCAUACACCGGCUCCCUGUUAUAUUUCCAGUUGAUUUUAAAAUGUUACUGCUCACUUUUAAGGCUUUAAAGGGUCUUGCUCCUACAUACAUUUAUGAUUUACUGACCUGAUAUGCGCCCAUUAAGAUCCGCAGAUGGAGCCCUGCUGGUUAUUCCCAGGUCUGGGCUUGUCACAAAGGAUAAUUGGGCUUGCUGUUAGAGAUCCCACACUAUGGACCUCUCUUCCUGUCGAACUAAGACAAACCAAGUCUCUAGCUUCUUUUUAAAUCUCGUCUUGAAAAUUGUCUUUAUGGAAGCUUUUACAAAUUUUUGAUAUUUGUUUUUAUUUAUUUAUACUGUUUUUAUUUUUACUCUUACUUAUUUGGCCUUACUCUUAUUUUUGCCUUGUCUGGUUUCAUCUCUUU